AUCGAUGGAAGAGGGGAAUGAAACAUUUCUUAUAAAGAGUUGACAUGAAAUGGAUCAUGGAAGAAGAUGUAUCUGAUGAAUGAAUGAUUCAAUCCCCUCUUUGAACCGAUACCUUCAAUCUUUAGUCUUAUAGUUUUUUUUUUAUC